rnacentral:tRNA from 2 species
GGCGCUAUCGUCUAGCGGCCUAGGACACUAGAUUCUCAAUCUAGUAACACGGGUUCGACUCCCGUUGGCGCUA